UACGGAGGGUGCGAGCGUUAAUCGGAAUUACUGGGCGUAAAGCGCAUGCAGGUGGUUCAUUAAGUCAGAUGUGAAAGCCCGGGGCUCAACCUCGGAACUGCAUUUGAAACUGGGUAACUAGAGAGUAGUAGAGGAAAGCGGAACUCACAGUGUAGCGGUGAAAUGCAUAGAUAUUGUGAGGAAUACCAGUGGCGAAGGCGGCCCCCUGGACAGAUACUGACACUCAGAUGCGAAAGCGUGGGGAGCAAACAGG
rnacentral:rRNA from 1 species